rnacentral:tRNA from 1 species
GAAUGGCUAGUAUAAUAAAAACACCUAAUUUCGACUUAGGAGACCUCAGUUUAAACCUGAGACCAAACA